GUCAGGUACCCCAUGCCUAAAGGCAGGGGCUUGUGAAAGCAAGCCCGGACCUGUCCAGACUUAACCAGAAUCUUCUACUUCGGUAGGAGGUUAUCAGGCUACGAUAGAGGUGAAGUGUUCAAGUUCCUACCUACGGGUGCGUGCCAGCCGGUAGCUCUAGA
rnacentral:sRNA from 21 species